rnacentral:lncRNA from 1 species
UUCUUUUUUUUUCCCCCUGUGCUACAUCUUAGCAGUUGUAUAUAUAGAGUUGAUUUAGGAUACUUUUACAUGUAUCAUCUCCAUGUUGCUAUCACAUUUUUAGCCAUUGGAUCUAUUUUUUGAAUACGAAUAGCCCUUGAAUCAAACACUAUUCCACCUACCACCACCUACCACCAUCAUCUCAACCUCACAUCUCUCCAUCCAAGGGCUAAAAACACACAAGUAUCACUUGGGUGAUACUUGUAAAAGUAUUCUAGCCCUACUCUGCAUAUAUAUAUAUAUAUAUAUAUAUAUAUAUAAUUUCAUAUAUCAUCCAA